rnacentral:rRNA from 1 species
AGAGUUUGAUCCUGGCUCAGGACGAACGCUGGCGGCGUGCUUAACACAUGCAAGUCGAGCGGUAAGGCCCUUCGGGGUACACGAGCGGCGAACGGGUGAGUAACACGUGAGCAAUCUGCCCUCCACAUCGGGAUAACCCCCGGAAACGGGAGCUAAUACCGGAUACGACCACUUCAGGCAUCUGAUGGUGGUGGAAAGUUCCGGCGGUGGAGGAUGAGCUCGCGGCCUAUCAGCUUGUUGGUGGGGUAACGGCCCACCAAGGCUUCGACGGGUAGCCGGCCUGAGAGGGUGACCGGCCACACUGGGACUGAGACACGGCCCAGACUCCUACGGGAGGCAGCAGUGGGGAAUAUUGGACAAUGGGCGAAAGCCUGAUCCAGCAACGCCGCGUGAGGGAUGACGGCCUUCGGGUUGUAAACCUCUUUCAGCGCAGACGAAGCGAAAGUGACGGUAUGCGCAGAAGAAGCACCGGCCAACUACGUGCCAGCAGCCGCGGUAAUACGUAGGGUGCGAGCGUUGUCCGGAAUUAUUGGGCGUAAAGGGCUCGUAGGCGGUUUGUCACGUCAGGAGUGAAAACUCGGGGCUCAACCCCGAGCCUGCUUCUGAUACGGGCAGACUAGAGGUAUGCAGGGGAGAACGGAAUUCCUGGUGUAGCGGUGAAAUGCGCAGAUAUCAGGAGGAACACCGGUGGCGAAGGCGGUUCUCUGGGCAUUACCUGACGCUGAGGAGCGAAAGUGUGGGGAGCGAACAGGAUUAGAUACCCUAGUAGUCC